rnacentral:rRNA from 1 species
AUAAACCACCGUCCUCAUAUACUCUACUGAUCCUUCCGUAGGUGAACCUGCGGAAGGAUCA